CUAAUGUUUCUUGCUUAAAUGAGUAUUCCAUGGAAAUAAAAUGGAGUCACAUAUCAUAUGGGUGUGAUUUCGUUUUCAUGAGAUGCUCAUUUGAGCAAGCAAUGUUUG
rfam:Arabis alpina cultivar Pajares chromosome 7, whole genome shotgun sequence.